AUGAACGCUAGCUACAGGCUUAACACAUGCAAGUCGAGGGGCAGCAUGAACUUAGCUUGCUAAGUUUGAUGGCGACCGGCGCACGGGUGAGUAACACGUAUCCAACCUUCCGUUUACUCAGGGAUAGCCUUUUCGGAAGAAAGAUUAAUACCUGAUAGUAUGGUGAGAUUGCAUGAUAGCACCAUUAAAGAUUUAUUGGUAAACGAUGGGGAUGCGUCUGAUUAGCUUGUUGGCGGGGUAACGGCCCACCAAGGCGACGAUCAGUAGGGGUUCUGAGAGGAAGGCCCCCCACAUUGGAACUGAGACACGGUCCAAACUCCUACGGGAGGCAGCAGUGAGGAAUAUUGGUCAAUGGACGAGAGUCUGAACCAGCCAAGUAGCGUGCAGGAUGACGGCCCUAUGGGUUGUAAACUGCUUUUAUAAGGGAAUAAAGUGAGUCUCGUGAGGCUUUUUGCAUGUACCUUAUGAAUAAGGACCGGCUAAUUCCGUG
rnacentral:rRNA from 1 species